AGCCGCCGCGGUAAUUCGUAGGUGGCAAGCGUUGUCCGGAAUCACUGGGCGUAAAGCGCGCGCAGGCGGCGAUCUACGUCUGGGGUGAAAUCCCGGAGCUCAACUCCGGGACUGCCUUGGAUACGGGAUCACUUGAGGAUUGGAGAGGCAAGGGGAAUUCCACGUGUAGCGGUGAAAUGCGUAGAUAUGUGGAGGAACACCUGUGGCGAAGGCGCCUUGCUGGCCAAUUUCUGACGCUGAGGCGCGAAAGCGUGGGGAGCAAACAGGAUUAGAUACCCUGGUAGUCCACGCCGUAAACGAUGAGUGCUAGGUGUUGGGGGGUACCACCCUCAGUGCCGAAGCUAACGCAUUAAGCACUCCGCCUGGGGAGUACGGUCGCAAGACUGAAACUCAAAGGAAUUGACGG
rnacentral:rRNA from 1 species